AAGUAUGAAGCAACAUUUUGCAUUUAGUUUCGACCUAACCUUAGGUAUAAAUUACCCUUACUUU
rnacentral:tRNA from 1 species